UACGUAGGGCGCAAGCGUUGUCCGGAAUUAUUGGGCGUAAAGAGCUCAUAGGUGGUUUGUCGCGUCUGUCGUGAAAGCCCGUGGCUUAACUGUGGGUCUGCGGUGGAUACGGGCAGGCUAGAGGUAGGUAGGGGAGAAUGGAAUUCCCGGUGUAGCGGUGAAAUGCGCAGAUAUCGGGAGGAACACCGGUGGCGAAGGCGGUUCUCUGGGCCUUACCUGACGCUGAGGAGCGAAAGCGUGGGGAGCGAACAGG
rnacentral:rRNA from 1 species